rnacentral:rRNA from 1 species
UGAGUUCUCCCUGACUCCUUAAGAGUCCUGAAGGAACGUUGAAGACGACGACGUUGAUAGGCCGGGUGUGUAAGCGCAGCGAUGCGUUGAGCUAACCGGUACUAAUGAACCGUGAGGCUUAACCUUACAACGCCGAAG